rnacentral:tRNA from 1 species
GCCGGCGUCUCCUAGUGGCCGAUGGAGGUGGCCUGGAGAGCCACUGGCCCGAAAGGGCCUCGUGGGUUCAAAUCCCACCGCCGGCG